GUGCCAGCAGCCGCGGUAAUACAGAGGGUGCAAGCGUUAAUCGGAGUUACUGGGCGUAAAGGGCGCGUAGGCGGUGAUAUGAGUGUGGUGUGAAAGCCCCGGGCUUAACCUGGGAAGUGCAUCGCAAACGAUAUGACUAGAGUAGAUGAGAGGGUGGCGGAAUUUCCGGUGUAGCGGUGAAAUGCGUAGAGAUCGGAAGGAACGUCAAUGGCGAAGGCAGCCACCUGGCAUCAUACUGACGCUGAGGCGCGAAAGCGUGGGGAGCGAACAGGAUUAGAAACCCCUGUAGUCC
rnacentral:rRNA from 1 species